rnacentral:rRNA from 1 species
UACGUAGGGGGCGAGCGUUGUCCGGAAUUACUGGGCGUAAAGCGCGCGCAGGUGGCUUGUUAAGUCAGGUGUCAAAAUGCGGAGCUCAACUCCGCAGCGCACUUGAAACUGGCAGGCUUGAGUGCAGGAGAGGAAAGUGGAAUUCCUAGUGUAGCGGUGAAAUGCGUAGAUAUUAGGAGGAACACCAGUGGCGAAGGCGACUUUCUGGACUGCAACUGACACUGAGGCGCGAAAGCUAGGGGAGCAAACAGGAUUAGAUACCCUGGUAGUCCUAGCCGUAAACGAUGGGUACUAGGUGUUGGGGGUGACAAUCCUCCAGUGCCGCAGUUAACGCAUUAAGUACCCCGCCUGGGGACUACGGCCGCAAGGCUGAAACUCAAAAAAUUGACGG